rnacentral:rRNA from 1 species
UGGAUGAUGUGGAUUAAUUCGAUGCAACGCGAAGAACCUUAUCUACCCUUGACAUGUCCGGAACUUGCCAGAGAUGGCUUGGUGCCCGAAAGGGAAUCGGAACACAGGUGCUGCAUGGCCGUCGUCAGCUCGUGUCGUGAGAUGUUGGGUUAAGUCCCGCAACGAGCGCAACCCUUAUCAUUAGUUGCUACGCAAGGGCACUCUAAUGAGACUGCCGGUGACAAACCGGAGGAAGGUGGGGAUGACGUCAAGUCCUCAUGGCCUUUAUGACCAGGGCUACACACGUACUACAAUGGCCGGUACAAAGGGCAGCCACUUAGCGAUAAGGAGCCAAUCCCGUAAAGCCGGUCUCAGUCCGGAUUGGAGUCUGCAACUCGACUCCAUGAAGUUGGAAUCGCUAGUAAUCGCAGAUCAGCACGCUGCGGUGAAUACGUUCCCGGGCCUU